UCCUACGGGGGGCAGCAGUAGGGAAUCUUGCGCAAUGGACGAAAGUCUGACGCAGCGACGCCGCGUGAGUGAUGAAGGCCUUCGGGUUGUAAAGCUCUGUGGGGAGAGAAGAAUUAGUGGAGGCUAAUCACUCCAUGAUGACGGUAUCUCCUUAGCAAGCACCGGCUAACUCUGUGCCAGCAGCCGCGGUAAGACAGGGGGUGCAAACGUUGUUCGGAAUUACUGGGCGUAAAGCGUGUGUAGGUGGCUGCGAAAGUCGGAUGUGAAAGCCCUGGGCUCAACUCAGGAAGUGCACCCGAUACUGCGUAGCUCGAGUACCGGAGAGGUUGGUAGAAUUCUCGGUGUAGAGGUGAAAUUCGUAGAUAUCGAGAGGAAUACCUGUGGCGAAGGCGGCCAACUGGACGAGUACUGACACUGAGACACGAAAGCGUGGGGAGCAAACAGGAUUAGAUACCCCGGUAGUCUU
rnacentral:rRNA from 1 species